rnacentral:rRNA from 1 species
UACGUAGGGUGCGAGCGUUGUCCGGAAUUAUUGGGCGUAAAGAGCUCGUAGGCGGUGUGUCACGUCGGCCGUGAAAACCUGGGGCUUAACUCUGGGCGUGCGGUCGAUACGGGCAUCACUAGAGUUCGGCAGGGGAGACUGGAAUUCCUGGUGUAGCGGUGAAAUGCGCAGAUAUCAGGAGGAACACCGGUGGCGAAGGCGGGUCUCUGGGCAGUAACUGACGCUGAGGAGCGAAAGCGUGGGGAGCGAACAGG